CUAAUACCGCAUAAGCCCACAGCUCGGCAUCGAGCAGAGGGAAAAGGAGCAAUCCGCUUUGAGAUGGCCUCGCGUCCGAUUAGCUAGUUGGUGAGGUAACGGCCCACCAAGGCAACGAUCGGUAGCCGGACUGAGAGGUUGAACGGCCACAUUGGGACUGAGACACGGCCCAGACUCCUACGGGAGGCAGCAGUGGGGAAUAUUGCACAAUGGGGGAAACCCUGAUGCAGCGACGCCGCGUGGAGGAAGAAGGUCUUCGGAUUGUAAACUCCUGUUGUUGAGGAAGAUAAUGACGGUACUCAACAAGGAAGUGACGGCUAACUACGUGCCAGCAGCCGCGGUAAAACGUAGGUCACAAGCGUUGUCCGGAAUUACUGGGUGUAAAGGGAGCGCAGGCGGGAAGACAAGUUGGAAGUGAAAUCUAUGGGCUCAACCCAUAAACUGCUUUCAAAACUGUUUUUCUUGAGUAGUGCAGAGGUAGGCGGAAUUCCCGGUGUAGCGGUGGAAUGCGUAGAUAUCGGGAGGAACACCAGUGGCGAAGGCGGCCUACUGGGCACCAACUGACGCUGAGGCUCGAAAGUGUGGGUAGCAAACAGGAUUAGAUACCCUGGUAGUCCACACCGUAAACGAUGAUUACUAGGUGUUGGAGGAUUGACCCCUUCAGUGCCGC
rnacentral:rRNA from 1 species